rnacentral:tRNA from 1 species
GGGCCGCUAGCUCAGUUGGCAGAGCAACGGACUUUUAAUCCGCAGGUCCUCGGUUCGAUUCCGAGGCGGCCCA